rnacentral:lncRNA from 1 species
AAGCAUAAUUUGCACGGCGAGCAUCGCAGCCAGCAAUGGAAACGAGAAUCGGGUAGACUAUGUGAUGUCUAAGCAUGCCGUGCUGGGUUUGGUGAGGUCGGCAAGUAAGCAACUUGGAGCAUACGGGAUACGCGUGAACUGUGUCUCCCCUGGACCGGUCGCAACACCAUUAGUCCGUGGAGUGUACGGCGUGAGUGAGGAGGAAGGCGAGAGGAUGUUUGAGUCAAGUUCAAGCUUGAAAGGAGUGCUGAAAGCGAAGCAUGUGGCUGAUGCCGUGGUGUUCCUUGCUUCUGAAGAGGCCGAAUUCAUCAACGGCCACAAUCUGGCGGUCGAUGGUGGAUGGGCCGGAAUUAGAUAGGCUAUUCUGAGGAGACUAGAAAUAAAAGUCGCAAACUCUUAACUCACCUGGGCUUGGUUUGCCGCUGUAGCAAUAUAAAUCCGGAGAAAUAAUGAAAUCGAGCUGAU